UACGGAGGGUGCAAGCAUUAAUCGGAUUUAUUGGGCGUAAAGGGCGCGUAGGCGGUAUAGAAAGUCAGAUGUGAAAUUCUGGGGCUCAACCCCAGAGCUGCAUUUGAAACUUCUAAACUUGAGGAUAGGCGGAGAAAACGGAAUUCCACAUGUAGCGGUGAAAUGCGUAGAUAUGUGGAAGAACACCGGUGGCGAAGGCGGUUUUCUAGCUUAUUCCUGACGCUAAGGCGCGAAAGCAAGGGGAGCGAACAGG
rnacentral:rRNA from 1 species